rnacentral:lncRNA from 1 species
UUUUUGUUGCAAUUGUGUUUGAGGUUAUACGGACAUUCGAACCCCAUGUCUUAAUUAAUAUCUAGAGGCUUUCUUAGGACUCGUAAGGGAGCGAAGGUAGCGAGUCGGUUUUAAUAUUUUCACGAUCUCCUAAAGAAGAAAUACUCUCGGCCAUUGAACAACCUACCCAAAACAAACAAGGAUAUAUUUAUCAAAUUCACUGGGCAGAUCCACUAUGUGUGGCAUGCGAAGCGCAUCGAUUGAGAAAACAAAAUAACAUCGAAAGAGGAUUUCGUUCAAACACUUUCUAGACUGACUCGAAGGUAAAGACAAAUACUAGAAAAUCCGCCCCGUUCUGAUGUGAUUGUCGUCCUUCAGUCCCUGCAAAAUCCUCCUAGUCGACUAUUACCUUUUCAAUUUUCGCACACGAUUUGUAUAAUUCAUGGAUUUACUAAUAAGACUCUAGGCCCAGGUCGCAGUACAUAACAGCGAAGAGCUAGCUAGUCGCUCGCAAAAAAUAUGCAUGACGCGUCUUGAGGAACUUUUUGUUGCGAUAUUGUUUGAGGUUAUACGGACAGUCGAACACCAUCUCCUAAUUAAUAUCUAGAGGAUUCUUAGGACUCUAAGGGAGCGAAGGUAGCGAGUCGAUUUUGAUAUUUUCACGAUCUCGUGAAGAAGAAAACUCUUGGUAGUUCUAUUGCAUUGGUCGUUUUAUUCAUAGGAUUAUGAUUGAAUUUAACAGAAACUCUUUCUAAGGAUUUUCUUUUUCUACUACAGUAUAUUUUAUAAAAAAUCUAACAUCCACUCUAAAAUCUUCAAAAAACUGUUUUGUUUUACCUUCGUUGCAAUAAAAAAACUAAACUCAUAUAAUGGGCAUGACAGUUCAAUCAUGUGCUUUUUAUAUUCCUGUAUUUUUGCAAUCCUACGAAUUUGAAAGGGCACUUAUUAUAUGUAGUGCACACAAACAUUCACGUUACAUUUUUAGAAAGUGAUGUUAUUAAAGCAUCAAGAUGGUACAAAAUGAUAAACUCAGUCACUAAUAAGAUAUGACAAGUCAGCAAUAACAUAGUCAACACAUACGAGCACAACACUUUCUUUUUAAAAUUUCGGAGGAGGGGGUGUCCCUUGCGUGAAUUUUUACUAAAACGGGCUUAAAUCUCGAGAUGGUUUUACAACAAGAAGACAUGGGUUGUCAAGCGAGAGAUACACAAAAUGAGGGGGCUAGGUGGAACUUCGUCAAUACGGGACAUGACGAUUUUUCACGCAUGUGCAUCACGCCGACAAUCCACCUGUAGCUUGCUCGUCAUAGAGAAACAUCAUUCCGUAAGCACUUGUGAAGAAGGGG